AUGGCCACCUGGCAGGAAUCCGUGACAUCAUCCAUCUUGGAGUCUAAAGUUCAACCACAAUCUUCUGUAAUCUCAAAACUGACUGGUGCUGGAGACCUAGGGGUAAAACCCCUACCCCUUGGGCACCCCAAAAGGGGAAAUCUGUGGAGGGAAGGGAACAGGAAGUUUUCAUGGCUGGGAGAGAUUCUGAGAAGACUUUCCCAGGCAGCCCUGAUGGGUACACAAGGAAUUACAGGGCCAAAGAGGAGUUGUGGUCGGCUCCUGUGUGCCUCUGUGUGCUUUCCAAAUGGUGACAGUGAACCCGUGUUGCAUAAGGAAACUUUCAAACUUACAGAAGAGUGGAGAGACUCGCACAAAGAUGCCAUUACCCGUUACCAGCCUCAUCAGUCAGCAAUGUGGAGUCCCCUCCUGAAUGAGGGGGCUUGAGAUCCUUGGCUGGAAUACACAGCACCAGCGCCGAGCUCUCAGGGUAAAAUGUAAUCUGACAGGAAGGAGAGCCAACAGCUGCGGCACGGGACUUUUGUAUUAAAGGCAGAAAAUAAAGUUAUAUAUAAAAAGAGAUCACCA
rnacentral:lncRNA from 1 species